rnacentral:rRNA from 1 species
CCUACGGGAGGCAGCAGUGAGGAAUAUUGGUCAAUGGACGAGAGUCUGAACCAGCCAAGUAGCGUGAAGGAUGACUGCCCUAUGGGUUGUAAACUUCUUUUAUAUGGGAAUAAAAUGUUCCACGUGUGGGAUUUUGUAUGUACCAUAUGAAUAAGGAUCGGCUAACUCCGUGCCAGCAGCCGCGGUAAUACGGAGGAUCCGAGCGUUAUCCGGAUUUAUUGGGUUUAAAGGGAGCGUAGGUGGAUUGUUAAGUCAGUUGUGAAAGUUUGCGGCUCAACCGUGAAAUUGCAGUUGAAACUGGCAGGCUUGAGUGCAGGAGAGGUGGGCGGAAUUCGUGGUGUAGCGGUGAAAUGCGUAGAGAUCACGAAGAACACCGAUUGCGAAGGCAGCUCACUGGACUGCAACUGACGCUGAGGCUCGAAAGUGUGGGGAUCAAACAGGAUUAGAUACCCCGGUAGUC